UACGUAGGUGGCGAGCGUUGUCCGGAUUUACUGGGCGUAAAGAGCGCGCAGGCGGCUGGUCAAGUCCGAUGUGAAAGCUCCCGGCUUAACUGGGAAAUUGCAUCGGAAACUGAUCGGCUGGAAGGUGGGAGAGGGUAGCGGAAUUCCCGGUGUAGUGGUGAAAUUCGUAGAUAUCGGGAGGAACACCAGUGGCGAAGGCGGCGAUCUGGGCAGAUACUGACGCUGAGGUGCGAAAGCGUGGGGAGCAAACAGG
rnacentral:rRNA from 1 species